GGCGCCGCGCAGUCGCCAGAAAGAAAAAAAAAACUCGUGGAAUCUUUCCCAGUCUCACUCUCGUGCUUCUCUCUUCUCUCCACUUCGAGGCGACAAAGGCGGCGGCGGGGACGGAGAGGACGGCGUCGGCGACUCCCCGGUGGGAAGCUCCCAGCGUAGGCUACUCUCCGGAGUGAAGCUUCCAGCAUCGACGACCUGCCACGUAGCCCGGCCGAAACCCUAGCUCCCGCUUCGUGCCAUCUCCCCCGCCGCCUCACUCCGGAGAAGAGGAAGCCCCCGGCGACAAGAUCACCAGGUUGGUAGAUCUGGGAGAUUUGGUUGACCGCCUUGGUCUGGCUGUCAAUCUGCGAGGAUCGGCUUAACUUUUCUUUCUCUGCGUUGAAGUUUAUGAUGGAGGGACACAAGGUGGUCACGCUUGUGAUGAUGCUUGGAUGCAUCAUAGCUCUGUCAGACGCUCGAACCACUGGUCAGAUGGACGGCAGCAAAUAUCAAAUCUGCAUAUGCCCGAAGUAUGGAAAUGUCUUCUGUUGCGCGGAUUCAACCGACCCCUGCUUUCCAUCCAAAAUGGAAUGCGUUAAAGGUUGCGGAUGCGGUGCGGACGCGCAAUCCACCCCUCAUGCCCUGCCAUGACCUUCUGGCUUAGUUCUGAUGGUGUUUGAUGCCUCCAUGAGGAAGAAAUAACCAUGUAGUCGAAGUUCUGAAUAAAAGAACCAUGAGGCACGGUCAUAUGCUAUGUUUUGUGAUUAUGUCUGGUGAUGGCGUGCACCUCAUGUAUGAAAGAUUAUAUCAUAUGUCCAGCAAUGUAUAUGGGGAUGCUAGAAUUUGAUCACCUUAUUUACAAAGGCUGAGCCAAGGGACAAUUCAGUAUUGUGGAUCUGGCACCUCGUAUGUCUUCCACUACUACUCCCUCCGUUCCUAAAUAUAUGAUGUUCUGGUAGUUCAAUUGAAAUACCAAAACGUCGUAUACA